rnacentral:lncRNA from 1 species
UGGUCAUUUAAUGUUUUGUUUGUAAUUUUUUUUUAUCAUGACUUCAGAUUUAGGAAGUAAGAUACCAUAUGUGUAAGGAAAAGUUGGUAUAUGUAAACAGUAAGGAGGAAGUAUGCUAAAACAGCAGUUCUAAAGAUACUUUGUUGUUAUUCUUGGUGUCUGUAAACAAAAUGAGAGAAGUGUUCUUGAAAUUACCAUGCUAAAGAUACUUUGUUGUUAUUCUUGGUGUCUGUGAACAAAAUGAGAGGUGUGUUGAAGCUAAAGUGCUAAAGAUACUUUGUUGUUAUUCUCGGUAUCUGUGAAAAUAUAUGAAAGGAGUGUAAUUGAAACUACCUUUAGUGCUAAAGAUACUUUGUUGUUAUUCUUGGUAUCUGUGAACAAAAUGAGAAUUGUGUUCUUGAAACUGCAGUGCUAAAGAUACUUUGUUGUUAUUCUUGGUAUCUUCAAACAAAAUGAUAGCAGUGUUCUUGAAACUGCAGUGCUACAGAUACUGUGUUGUUGUUCUUGGUAUCUGUGAACAC